GGCUGUAACUUUACAACAUCAUAACUUGAUCUCACCAGCUCUCAGAAACUAAGCGAGGUUGGGCUGGAUUGAUACUGAGAUGGGACAUUUCUAAGGAAAACCAGGUUGCUGCUGCAA
rnacentral:rRNA from 1 species